UCCCCUUUCUGCGGGAGUGGCAGGCGAGGUGGUUUCUCCCUGCCGACGCAAGGGGAGGGAUGAGCAGCGGCGAGAUCUUCCCUUUCUCGCGCGCGACCGUGUGAGCUCGUAUGGUGGUGUGUACGAAUCUGAGUCCAAGUUGCAAUUUUUACAUAUGUAUGGAUCUUGUACCCCCUUCUUGGUUUGUGUUCUUUCAGACGAAUUCCUGCUAUUUUCUUUUCUUGGUUGGGUGAUGCAUGGGGAGUAGAGGAGGAGUUAUUCAGUCGGAAUGCUGCAGCCAUGCAUCUUGUGCUAGAUGAUUGCCCAUCGAGAGGCAGCAUGGAGAAGGGGGGAAGCUCAAGCUCGCUCACGGCGCCCGGCAAAGUAUCCAGCAAAAGCAGGCAUUUUUCUUCCUGAUGCAAGGUGGGUGUUGGAGUUGUAUCUGGCAAUGUUGGUUAAAAACAUGACAAGUAUUUCUUGGUUACAUUCUCAAGGUAUAGCUGAAUUUGUUGGUUCAAAACGUUGUUCCAUCCCAUCAGCUAACCAUUGUAUUUGUAUUGCCUUUAUGUCUCGGGCCGACCUGAGCAACCUAAGGUCUGUCCUGUCUGGACCUCUCAAUAAGCAUGGAGAAAACCUGGAAAGAAGGCAUUCAUCUAUCCUGUCUAAACCUAUAUAUGAAUUCAUCUGGUGCUGUUAUACGAAAAGUAUUAGGCAUGCCCUCUUGAUUCUAGCGUAUCGAUGAAGAUGCAUGAGUGCGACCUCUUUUGCUCACAACCAGGCGGCAUGGACACAAACAAAUCUGAAUGUAGAAGACAGUUACUUGAUCAAGGGUGGCAUUCCAGAGACAACUAAUUCUCUGAAUGGUUGUUCUUCUCUUUGUGAUGGAGUUCAUACAUAGAAGGUUUUUACUUGUGGAAAUUUUCCCCUUUAGUCCUCAUUUCAAAGUAUUCCAAGAUGUGUGUACACUUCGACUUGCCUGUAUGAGUACAGGGGAUGGGAAUCAAAAGCUGCUAAGGCUGAGAAUUGCAGAUUUACUUGGGGACUCAGGCCAAUGGAGCAACAUGCUGUUUCUACAUCUCCGGUUUCCAAUCUGAACUAUGAGCAUUGGUCAAAACAGGAUAUAGAGCACCAUUAACCUCUUAAUUAUGUUGAUGAAUCUGUUGUUAUUAACAUAAACCUGGAUAACAAGGACAUGUCUACUAAAGGAAUGUCUCAAGUGAUGAGAUGGUUAAGAGAAAGGAAUUUCUCAAAUGAUGAUAGUAGAAUGCACCUAAAAGAAGGUUACUCUCUUUUGUUCUGGUUCUAUGUCUGAAUUAUUCUAGAAUGUAUGAGCAUGAAACUAUUUUCACUCACGCCGUUCCCUGAAUUAAAUAGCUACCUGUUUCAUUUGACAUGGACAUUUUUUUUGAGGCAAAGUUUGGCAUGGGCAUUUACAGUGCAGAUACAUAGAGGAGGGCAGCACAGUGAGUGUCAUGCGGGUUGUGUUCAAAGGAAUGAAAAAUUGUUGACGAUUAUCCCUCCAUCUCAACAUAUCUCCACUAGCUGCCAGUGGGCAAUGUUCAUCAUCCUGACUAAUAGUUUCUAUGGGCUAGUCUUAAGAUGCGAUGAUACAUCGAAUAUCGAUGAGAUACCAGUCUAAGUUCUCGCCAAGUAUGGACGGCAAUCUUCUUGAGGCUGGGGUUAGUGGAGGUUGCGCCUCAGCCCUCUACUGACCGCUUUCUAAGGUGGUGGAGCAAAGCGAAAGGGGAUUAACUCUUUGGUGACCCUAGUAGUUUGGGAGAUUUGGAAGCACCGCAAUGAUUGUGUCUUCAAUGGUGCCAAUCCUAAAAUUGUGCUGGUCUUGCAAGUGGUAGAAAAUGAGGGUUAUCUUUGGUGUGCUGCAGGAGCUUCUGGCCUUCAAAAGCUCCUUAGUGGGAUGACAAGCCUAGGGAAGCUUACACUCCAGGUGGCCUAGUGUGUGUGGGUCUCACUAGGAGGGCUCGGGUCUUCCUACUCUGUAAAUAUUUUUGUGUUGUUUUUUCUUCCCCUUAAUGAAAUGAAAUGCAACUCUCCUGCGUUUUUGAGAGGAAAAAAAAAGAGAUACCACUCUAAGCUUAGUUUUGUUCUUGCAGUCACGCCAAGAAAUAGAAACCUGUCAAAAUCUUUGGGUUUAUUUUGUGGGAUGUUAAGAGUUGAAAGAAUGUGCAAAUGCAUUGCUGUGUUUAUGGUUAAGUUCAAUACGGGUGGUCUGUUGCUUGGGUUUUGAUUGUAUAGUAUUUAUAUAUUUCAUCUGUUUUUCUUUCUUUUGUGAGCUAUGGAUACUUGUAACAAGGAUGUCUUGAGUUCUAGCUACAACGGAGCUGUUUAGAGAU